ACUACGGGUGGCAGCAGUGGGGAAUAUUGGACAAUGGGCGAAAGCCUGAUCCAGCCAUGCCGCGUGUGUGAAGAAGGCCUUCGGGUUGUAAAGCACUUUCAGUGGGGAAGAAAGCCUUGGGGCUAAUACCCUCGAGGAAGGACAUCACCCACAGAAGAAGCACCGGCUAACUCCGUGCCAGCAGCCGCGGUAAUACGGAGGGUGCGAGCGUUAAUCGGAAUUACUGGGCGUAAAGCGCGCGUAGGCGGUCUGAUAAGCCGGUUGUGAAAGCCCCGGGCUCAACCUGGGAACGGCAUCCGGAACUGUCAGGCUAGAGUGCAGGAGAGGAAGGGAGAAUUCCCGGUGUAGCGGUGAAAUGCGUAGAGAUCGGGAGGAAUACCAGUGGCGAAGGCGGCCUUCUGGACUGACACUGACGCUGAGGUGCGAAAGCGUGGGUAGCAAACAGGAUUAGAUACCCUGGUAGUC
rnacentral:rRNA from 1 species